ACUUCCUUCCCCUUCGCCCGCGCUCUCACUAGCCCUUUUGGACGUAUUCUUCUCCCUCUGCAACCCUCUUCCGUCCCUGCAGUGUCUCUGCUUCCCGGCUCCCCGGCCGCUCCCGCCCUGAGCCGAGUUAGUUUAAGGCUUGUUCCAGACACAGGUGCGCCGGCCCCGCAGAGAGCCGCCGGAAAAUCCCGCGGAGGAACCAAGAACCCAGAACCGAAAGGCUUUUUGGAAACCAUUCCCUGCAGGGGGCCUUGCCUUCUCACCCCCAAGGCCCCCUUUGAUGACUCUGCCUCACCCCCAGCCCAGAUUCUGCAAGAGCCUUCCUGCCAGACUGCAUUGAUUAACUAUUCAUUCAUGGCCCCAUUUUUUAUUAAUCAAAGACAUAUAUAAUUGCCCAUCCGA